rnacentral:rRNA from 1 species
CUACUUGUCUCAGCAGUGGGGAAUAUUGCACAAUGGGGGACACCCCGACGCAGCAACGCCGCGUGGAGGAUGCCUCAUUUCUUUGUUUCCCCUCCUUUUCUAUAUGACGAUAAUGACGGUACUAUAUGAAUAAGCACCGGCUAACUCCGUGCCAGCAGCCGCGGUAAUACGGAGGGUGCAAGCGUUACUCGGAAUCACUGGGCGUAAAGCGCGCGCAGGCGGCCCCUUAAGUUGGAUGUGAAAGCCUACGGCUUAACCGUAGAACUGCAUCCAAAACUGAGGGGCUAGAGUCUGGGAGGGGAAGAUGGAAUUAGUUGUGUAGGGGUAAAAUCCGUAGAGAUAACUAGGAAUACCAAAAGCGAAGGCGAUCUUCUGGAACAGUACUGACGCUGAGGCGCGAAAGCGUGGGGAGCAAACAGGAUUAGAUACCCCCGUAGUC